rnacentral:rRNA from 1 species
GUGCCAGCCGCCGCGGUAAUACGUAGGGGGCGAGCGUUGUCCGAAGUUACUGGGCGUAAAGCGCGCGUAGGCGGGUUAUUAAGUUGGAUGUGAAAUCUUCGGGCUCAACCCGGAAACCGCAUCCAAAACUGUUAGCCUUGAGGUAUGGAGAGGGAAGUGGAAUUCCUGGUGUAGCGGUGAAAUGCGUAGAUAUCAGGAGGAACACCCGUGGCGAAGGCGGCUUCCUGGCCAUAUCCUGACGCUGAGGUGCGAAAGCUAGGGGAGCGAACGGGAUUAGAUACCCCCGUAGUCC